rnacentral:rRNA from 1 species
CAUGUCGAGCGCUCUUCAGCUAUGUAGAGAGCGCGGCGAACGGCUCAAUAACACGUAGUUAACCUACCCUCGGGAUGGGAAUAACCCCGGGAAACUGGGAUUAAUACCCACUAGAUGAUUAUACCUGGAAUGGCUUAUCAUCGAAAGAGUCUGGAAACAUGCUUCCAGCGUCGCCCGAGGAUGGGACCGCGUCCGAUCAGGUAGUUGGUGGGGUAAUGGCCUACCAAGCCUAUAACCGGUACGGGCCCUGAGAGGGGGAGCCCGGAGAUGGAAACUGAGAAAAGGUUCCAGGCCCUACGGGGUGCAGCAGGCGCGAAACCUCCACAAUGCGCGAAAGCGUGAUGGGGUUAUCCCGAGUGCCGUCCGAUGAGGAUGGCUUUUUAUCGAUGUAAGGAUUCGAUAGAAUAAAGGGGGGGCAAGACUGGUGUCAGCCGCCGCGGUAAUACCAGCCCCCUGAGUGGUAAGGACGAUUAUUUGGCCUAAAGCGUUCGUAGCCGGCUUAUCAAGUCUUUUGUUAAAUCCAACGAUUCAAUCGUUGGGCCGCAAAAGAUACUGUUAUGCUAGAGGACGGGAGAGGUCGGCGGUAGUCCAGGGGUAGGGGUGAAAUCCUAUAAUCCUUGGAGGACCACCAGUGGCGAAGGCGGUCGACUAGAACGUGCCUGACGGUGAGGGACGAAAGCUGGGGGAGCGAACCGGAUUAGAUACCCGGGUAGUCCCAGCUGUAAACGAUGCGGGCUAGGUGUUGGGGCAGCCACGAGCUGCUCCAGUGCCGCAGAGAAGUUGUUAAGCCCGCCGCCUGGGGAGUACGG